CACGUUAGCUGACCUGCCCCUCAGCGGGGGACAACAGUGCGAAAGCGCUGCUAAUACCGCAUACGCACCGCGCUUUUAGAAAGCGCGGCGGAAACUUACGGGGUUGAGGGAGGGAGCUGCGGCCCAUCAGGUAGUUGGUGCGGUAGUGGCGCACCAAGCCAACGACGGGUAGGGGGCCUGAGAGGGUGGUCCCCCACACUGGGACUGACACACGGCCCUGACUCCUACGGGAGGCAGCAGUAAGGGAUAUUGCGCAAUGGGCGAAAGCCUGACGCAGCAACGCCGCGUGGAGGAUGAC
rnacentral:rRNA from 1 species